rnacentral:rRNA from 1 species
AGAGUUUGAUCCUGGCUCAGGAUGAACGCUGGCGGCGUGCCUAACACAUGCAAGUCGAACGGACUUUUCAUGAAGCCUAGCGAUUGAAAAGUUAGUGGCGGACGGGUGAGUAACGCGUGGGUAACCUGCCUUGUACUGGGGGACAACAGUUGGAAACGACUGCUAAUACCGCAUAAGCGCACAGCUUCGCAUGAAGCAGUGUGAAAAACUCCGGUGGUACAAGAUGGACCCGCGUCUGAUUAGCUGGUUGGUGAGGUAACGGCCCACCAAGGCGACGAUCAGUAGCCGGCCUGAGAGGGUGAACGGCCACAUUGGGACUGAGACACGGCCCAAACUCCUACGGGAGGCAGCAGUGGGGAAUAUUGCACAAUGGGGGAAACCCUGAUGCAGCAACGCCGCGUGAAGGAUGACGGUUUUCGGAUUGUAAACUUCUUUUCUUAGUGACGAAGACAGUGACGGUAGCUAAGGAAUAAGCAUCGGCUAACUACGUGCCAGCAGCCGCGGUAAUACGUAGGAUGCAAGCGUUAUCCGGAUUUACUGGGUGUAAAGGGAGCGCAGGCGGGACUGCAAGUUGGAUGUGAAAUACCGUGGCUUAACCACGGAACUGCAUCCAAAACUGUAGUUCUUGAGUGAAGUAGAGGCAAGCGGAAUUCCGAGUGUAGCGGUGAAAUGCGUAGAUAUUCGGAGGAACACCAGUGGCGAAGGCGGCUUGCUGGGCUUUAACUGACGCUGAGGCUCGAAAGUGUGGGGAGCAAACAGGAUUAGAUACCCUGGUAGUCCACACUGUAAACGAUGAUAGCUAGGUGUGGGGGGUCUGACCCCUUCCGUGCCGGAGUUAACGCAAUAAGCUAUCCACCUGGGGAGUACGACCGCAAGGUUGAAACUCAAAGGAAUUGACGGGGGCC